rnacentral:rRNA from 1 species
GCCGCAGUAUUUUGACUGUGCGAAGGUAGCAUAAUCAGUAGUCCUUUAAUUGGGGGCUUGUAUGAAUGGUCGAAUGAGGCAUAAUCUGUCUUUGGUUUGAAAUAUAAUUUAACUUUUAAGUGAAAAGGCUUAAAUUAUUUAGGGGGACGAUAAGACCCUAUAAAACUUUAUAAAAUGUUGUGUGGUUUGAGAGUUUGGUUUAAAUUAAAUUAUUCAAUUAUUUAUUUUGUUGGGGAGACAGAAAUAUAAUGUUUAACUGUUUCUAAAAUUUAAUACUUGUUAGUAGUUUUUGAUCCUUUUGUAAUGAUUAUAAGAUUAAGUUACUUUAGGGAUAACAGCGUAAUUUUUCUUGAGAGUUCUUAUCGACAGAAGUAGUUGCGACCUCGAUGUUGAAUUAAAAUUUCAAUUGGGUGUAGCAGCUUGAUUGGUGGGUCUGUUCGACCUUUAAAAUU